GCCAAAUCCAGCAUAUAGGGGACCAUGGAAACCCAAGAGGAUCAAGAAUCCCAACUACAAAGGCAAGUGGAAGAUCCCUUGGAUUGACAAUCCAGAGUUUGAAGAUGACCCAGAUCUUUAUGUGCUGAAGCCUUUGAAAUAUGUGGGCAUUGAAGUGUGGCAGGUGAAAGCUGGUGCAGUUUUUGACAACAUUCUAAUAUGUGAUGAUCCAGCGUAUGCAAAGCAGGUUGUGAAUGAUAUUUGGGAGAAAAACAAAGAGUCUGAGAAGGAGGCCUUUGAGGAAGCGGAGAAAGUGAGACGAGCAAAAGAAGAAGAGGAAGCUCAACGAGCUAGGGAGGAAGGUGAGCGGCGGCGGAAUUCGAGGGGAGGUGAUCGGCGUUACCGAGACAGGGAGCGAUAUAGGAGGCGUCACGACUUUGAUGAUUAUCAUGAUGAACUAUGAAAGCAUGGUCAUUACAAAUGUGCUAUGAAAGCAUGGUCAUUACGACCCACAUUUGGAGGUAAUAUGGGUGCAAUCAUUCACUUAUAAUGUCCUUUCCAAAUAACUUCAGCUGAAUCAUUUUGGAAAUUUUGUAAGACAAUUUAUAUGGAGCUACAAAAUCUUGUUGUGUAUUUG
rnacentral:misc_RNA from 1 species